UAUUUUUGGGCCUGCAGAAUUCUGUGUUGAAUAGAAGGCAUUGGAAGGAGUUUGUGAUUUGAAGUGACAGAAGGUUAACCAGACAGAUAAAAUUGUAAACUGUAUAUAUUAGAAUGAAGGGUGGUGUGGUAGUAUAGAUGUUCUUCCCUGGAUGAGUCAGUAGUUGUGAAUUUCUUUUAUUGGGGCGGAUUGGUGGUAGGCACUUAAUUAAAAUGCACAUCAGGGGAUUAAUUCAGUGAUCUGUGUGACUCACCUGUAUGUAAACAUAGGGACAGGACAACACAGAUAUAUGUAAGAAAUAUAACAAGACAUGCUGAAGAUAUCCAGCAAAUGACUGCGGGAGGAUGAAGUCAUAAUUUGAGAUUUUAAAAUUCCUCAAAAAGUGAACUCCUUCCAUUUAAAUGGCUGGAGACGUGAAGAGGAAGAACAAUGCCUGAGCAGACCUCAGGACCCCACUUCCUUCCUGCUCUAGCAGUCUCGGGGCUUGGGCUGAUUCUCUCUGUUUACUUUCUCAUUCUGUGUGUAUGUGGUAAAAAGUAAG